rnacentral:rRNA from 1 species
CCUACGGGAGGCAGCAGUGAGGAAUAUUGCACAAUGGACGAAAGUCUGAUGCAGCAACGCCGCGUGAGGGACGAAGGCCUUCGGGUUGUAAACCUCUUUUAGCAGGGAAGAAGCGAAAGUGACGGUACCUGCAGAAAAAGCACCGGCUAACUACGUGCCAGCAGCCGCGGUAAU